UAUGCACAUGUAGAAAAUUUAAAAAACUACAGGUGCAAUUUUUUCAAAUAUUUUUUUCAAGAUCUUGCGUCCGUUGGAUGUUUGGAGGUCUCGGUAUCAGAAAAGUCUUCUGUAAGAAUGCUGACACAUAGAAGUGAAAGUACUUGAAGAAGUCGGGCAGCCGACGAAACGUUGUACAAAAAUUGUUUCAUUAUAAAGCCGACUUUGGUAGAGGGAAAAUCCUGAGUAAGAAUUCUCGGGAAAUCUUUGUCGGGAUCCGCAAGUAGUUGUUGAAGAUAAGAGUGCUGAGGUGUCAAAGACGGAGACGGCAAUGAUGUUUAGGUUCAUUCGACGUGUCACGUUCUACUUUUGCCUGAACCGCAUUAUAAAAGUCUAUAUAGAGAUGGCUGUUGCCCGUUGAGUGCGGAUCGUGCCUCAGCUUGGUCGGGAAGUGCUCAUUCACGAG